AUAUAAAUUGCACUAGAAUGAUACAUUUAUGGAUUUUCAUUAAGGUAUUGUUUUCACUUCAUUCAACCCGCCUACCAGACACCCGCCCUUCAUCCACACAGUAUUUCAUGACCCUAAACACACAGAUUUAACCGUGGGGACUGCAGAUGAAACCCACACAUCACUAGUUGGUACCGCAACACUGUUACUAUCCAUUAGGUUGAUACCCCAACACUGUUACUAUCCAUUAGGAUGGUACCCCAACACUGUUACUAUCCAUUAGGUUGGUACCCCAACACUGUUACUAUCCAUUAGGUUGGUACCCCAACACUGUUACUAUCCAUUCUACCAUUAGGUUGGUACCAGAACACUGUUACUAUCCAUUCUACCAUUAGGUUGGUACCCCAACACUGUUACUAUCCAUUCUACCAUUAGGUUGGUACCCCAACACUGAUACUAUCCAUUCUACCAUUAGGUUGAUACCCCAACACUGUUACUAUCCAUUCUACCAUUAGGUUGGUACCCCAACACUGUUACUAUCCAUUAGGUUGGUACCCCAACACUGUUACUAUCCAUUAGGUUGGUACCCCAACACUGUUACUAUCCAUUCUACCAUUAGGUUGGUACCCCAACACUGUUACUAUCCAUUCUACCAUUAGGUUGGUACCCCAACACUGUUACUAUCCAUUCUACCAUUAGGUUGGUACCCCAACACUGUUACUAUCCAUUCUACCAUUAGGUUGGUACCCCAACACUGUUACUAUCCAUUCUACCAUUAGGUUGGUACCCCAACACUGUUACUAUCCAUUCUACCAUUAAGUUGAUACCCCAACACUGUUACUAUCCAUUCUACCAAUAGGUUGGUACCCCAACACUGUUACUAUCCAUUCUACCAUUAGGUUGGUACCCCAACACUGUUACUAUCCAUUCUACCAUUAAGUUGAUACCCCAACACUGUUACUAUCCAUUCUACCAAUAGGUUGGUACCCCAACACUGUUACUAUCCAUUCUACCAUUAGGUUGGUACUCCAACACUGUUACUAUCCAUUCUAC